rnacentral:rRNA from 1 species
CCUACGGGAGGCAGCAGUGGGGAAUAUUGCACAAUGGGCGCAAGCCUGAUGCAGCCAUGCCGCGUGUGUGAAGAAGGCCUUCGGGUUGUAAAGCACUUUCAGCGGGGAGGAAGGCGGUGAGGUUAAUAACCUCAUCGAUUGACGUUACCCGCAGAAGAAGCACCGGCUAACUCCGUGCCAGCAGCCGCGGUAAUACGGAGGGUGCAAGCGUUAAUCGGAAUUACUGGGCGUAAAGCGCACGCAGGCGGUCUGUCAAGUCGGAUGUGAAAUCCCCGGGCUCAACCUGGGAACUGCAUUCGAAACUGGCAGGCUAGAGUCGUGUAGAGGGGGGUAGAAUUCCAGGUGUAGCGGUGAAAUGCGGAGAGAUCUGGAGGAAUACCGGUGGCGAAGGCGGCCCCCUGGACAAAGACUGACGCUCAGGUGCGAAAGCGUGGGGAGCAAACAGGAUUAGAUACCCUUGUAGUC